rnacentral:rRNA from 1 species
AACGAACGCUGGCGGCGUGCCUAACACAUGCAAGUCGAGCGCGAAUAGGGGCAACCCUUAGUAGAGCGGCGCACGGGUGCGUAACACGUGGAUAAUCUGCCUGGAUGCCUGGGAUAACCAGUCGAAAGAUUGGUUAAUACCGGAUAAGCCCACGGUCUCUUCGGAGGCUGAGGGAAAAGCUGGCCUGUGUAUACAAGCUAUCACAACCAGAUGAGUCCGCGGCCCAUAAGCUAGUUGGCGGGGUAAUGGCCAACCAAGGCGACGACGGGUAGCUGGUCUGAGAGGGCGAUCAGCCACACUGGAACUGAGACACGGUCCAGACUCCUACGGGAGGCAGCAGUGGGGAAUUUUGCGCAAUGGGCGAAAGCCUGACGCAGCAACGUCGCGUGUGUGAUGAAGGUCUUUGGAUUGUAAAGCACUUUCGACCGGGACGAAACCGUAAAGCCUAAUACGCUUUGCCUUGACGGUACCGGGAGAAGAAGCACCGGCUAACUCUGUGCCAGCCGCCGCAGUAACAC